CCUCUAGCAGGUUUGCUGUGCGUCUUGUUUUUUUUUUUUUCAUCCCUUGACUGAAAAGAAAACAACAAGUUUCAGAUCAGUUUCGCUCAGGCAGCCUCACAAUGAUGUGGCAUAUACGUGAAGUUUGGGGUCGUGGAAGGAAUUUUCAGCCCGGUGAAAUAUUAAAUGUGAACGCAGGAUAAUUUCAUAGCUUUUGCUCAGGGGCACACAGCUGGGAACUGUCAGUCAACCUCUGGUAUGUAUGUGUGUAACUUUUUAGCCUCCAGAAAUCAUUGAAACCUAUGGCAUAAACCACAAGCACCCUAUACAUCCUCAUUUGUCUUCUUCUCUUUUAAAUUAACUUAUUGAGGGAAAGCUAUGACACCUUCCACUUAAGAAGAGUGGGCUUUGAUCUGUGUCGUCUGCAUACUAAUGUGAACCUGCCAAACUGGAAAAAAAAAAAAAAAAGGGUCACGGAGGAUACAAGUUGAUGACACACACACACACACACACACAGAGCAAUAUAUCAACAGUGGACAUGUUAGGUAAUAUCAGUAAGUCCCCGAGCAUUACCAGGAGGAGGAGCUGAGUGCUGACUGUGGUAAACUCUCUCCAGUAGUCAUAUUCAUCGAGAGUGCAACAGUUUCAACGUUGCUUGCUGUUCAGUUUGUCACAGCUUUGCCUCCUGUGAUCUGAACUCACUCUGAGCUUCGACCAAGUACUGAACUGCCAGGUGUGAGGAGACUGGAUGGAACUUCCCAUGUUGAGCCGUAAACGACGUCUGUCUCAUGGAUAUGAAAAGGAGCCUCUGCCGUCCUCGAAGAAACGCGUAUCCAGUCUCACAGCUCUGCGGGACAGAUCUCAGACUGACGGCUCAGACAGAGCCACACAGCACGCCAGACUGAGGACGAGCUGUGGUCGCCUCUGCACAUGUGAAGCCUGUCUGAAUGAAGAGGUUAAAUACCUGACUAACAACAGGCGCUUCUUCGAGCAGGUAUCAUCCUGGGCUGACACACAAUACUCUGUGAAUAAAGUGCUGGAGCAUCUCGCGUUCAGACAAGCCACCGAUGACAUUUUCCUCAAUGACCCAGUUAACAAGAAAUUUUUGGAGUUUCACCAUGACAUCACUGAGGAAUGUGGCGCAGAAGAUAAACAGCAUUCGUGGGCUGUUAUUGAAAAACAGGAGGAGAUCAUCAUGUAUGGACCUUAUUAUCCUAACUACAACAACGGAGAACACAGCGAGGACGUCAUUAUUAAACAAACACAGGAGCUUCUGGAGUCAGGAGAAUCCUCAGAAGACUGGAAGGUGUAUGUUUUCACCAUGAACAGCCCGUGUUUGGCUAGAAACACUGAGCCAUGCAUGUUAAACCUGGUUCAGAAAGCUCAGGAGUGGUGGACUGUGUAUGGGGUAAAGACUCACAUUGGUUAUGUGAGAUGCUGGGGCUUCAAAGGAACCAAAGAAAAUCUGUUCAGGGAGGUUGACUACAGCCAAGUGGAGUGUAUAAAACAGACUGAGGACCAUGAGGACUAUGUUAAAGCAGUAAAAAAUAGAACUGAUCUCAAUCCUUUAUGUAAAAAUCUGACUUCUGCAGUUAAACACCUCCUGACAUCUGUAAAUUUGAGUUUCCCUCUGAUGACCGUUGUGCAGCUGCAGGACUGGAAGAGUUACUUCAAAAACAUGCAAAGUAUUUUUGAAUGCAAACCAGAGGAUGAGAAAGAAGCCUUCACACAGGAGCUGAACACCGCGAUUGAAGCUGCACAAGGGCCGCUUUCACAAAAAAGUGCGAGCUUUGAGGAACAUUUAGAAAGCGGGAAGACAUUUCAACUUGAUCGCGCUUUCAGUCCACAAGUGUCUGACGCCCUCCAGGGUCGAAUGAAGCUCGCGUUUCAGCAGUGUUGGAGGGAGAUGGUACGAGACAAAUACGCAGAGUUAAUCAGGGAGAAGCUGACUGAAGACUUCAAUCAAUGUGCCGUCCAGUGUUUUGUCCAAGAUAUUGUAAAGUUCACAAACGCAUACUUACAAAUCGGAAGGAUACACUUUUCAGAAGAAGAGUCAAAAGGUCAACAAGCUGAUAGAGAGUAUGAAUCUGGCCUCCAUCUGUUCCUCCCUCGCUGCAGAGAGCAACAGGAAUGGCAGUGAUACAUACGCAGGCCUCCUCCAAGGCUGAGAGCAAAACAGAGACAGCAGGGCGAGCUAACCUUGAGCCAGUCAGCCAUUGUAGCCAACACAACGCAGCAACUGCCAGGAGAAGGCCUCGUAGAAGUGAACGUUAAAGCUUUUCAAAUGAUCAACACAAGGAUUACAUCUCAACUGGCAGACAGGAGGAGGAGCUGGAGGAGCACCAGUCUGGAGACCGUGGAGGACCGAGCUAUCGAAGGGGGACGCCGGCCACGUUCCACCCAUGUUCGGGCUCAUGUAGGCCGGGUAGGGGCUGUGGUACGACCCGCUGAAGCCCCGAGCGCC